UACAGCUGACCUGUUGGCUUUGCAGCAUUCCCAGCACCGACGCUGCCAUUCUGCUGCCUUGCUGUCUGGGCGCGGGAUGCAGAGCAGGCGCUGGGCUGGCUGGUAACUCA
ensembl:miRNA gga-mir-6653 gga-mir-6653